UAGGGAAUCUUCCACAAUGGGCGAAAGCCUGAUGGAGCAACGCCGCGUGUGUGAUGAAGGCUUUAGGGUCGUAAAGCACUGUUGUAUGGGAAGAAAUGCUAGAAUAGGGAAUGAUUCUAGUUCGACGGUACCAUACCAGAAAGGGACGGCUAAAUACGUGCCAGCAGCCGCGGUAAUACGUAUGUCCCGAGCGUUAUCCGGAUUUAUUGGGCGUAAAGCGAGCGCAGACGGUUGAUUAAGUCUGAUGUGAAAGCCCGGAGCUCAACUCCGGAAUGGCAUUGGAAACUGGUUAACUUGAGUGUUGUAGAGGUAAGUGGAACUCCAUGUGUAGCGGUGGAAUGCGUAGAUAUAUGGAAGAACACCAGUGGCGAAGGCGGCUUACUGGACAACAACUGACGUUGAGGCUCGAAAGUGUGGGUAGCAAACAGGAUUAGAUACCCUGGUAGUCCACACCGUAAACGAUGAAUACUAGGUGUUAGGAGGUUUCCGCCUCUUAGUGCCGAAGCUAACGCAUUAAGUAUUCCGCCUGGGGAGUANNNNNGCAAGGUUG
rnacentral:rRNA from 1 species